CUAACAAGCUCAAGACUUCUUGGACCGCCAGAAAGGGUUUACAGUAUCACAGAUGAGUUAAAAGCAGGCUAUUUAUAGUGAGUACACUUCAAGGGCACAUAUAUUUAGGAGUGUGGAGCAAAGAAGAAUGCAAAGCCUGAUUGGGGUUGGGGGUGUGAUCAGGGAAAGUGGCCAAAAGCCUUUCGUGGAGAGACAGGAUCUGAGGAAGGGAAGGAGUUCAUUAUUAUUCUCUGAAGUCAUCAGGGAGCACCAAGAGGGUGGGAUUUCAGGAAGUAUUUAAAUGAAAGGAGACACAUGGCUUGGCACAGUGAGAGGGAGGUUUUCCAGGCUUCCUGUGCUGUCUUGGGGACCUGCUCAGAGGCUGGACCGCGUCAUGCUCAGAAGGCCCUGUUUUCUUUAGACGCUGACUCCUGCUGUCUACCAGAUCCUCGUGGUACAAUGACUGGUGUAGACUGGCUUGUUGAAGUCACUCUCUGGAUCUGAGCAACGCUGGCUGAGCCGUGAUGAAGUAUUCCUAUCCAUCCACUAUGCUUCACAGUGGGAAUCUCUCACUGUUCAUCACCGCUGCCCUAGCAGCCGCAGGGAUUCUUCACCCAUGGUUGCUUAGGUUUAUAAGCAAGGAAGCUGAAUGAAGUCCCUUUCCUCUCUGGAUGAGCCCCUGGGUUUCUGGAAGAGUCUUAAAAUCACCCCUAAAUGGCUUCCAAGCACUGAAGCCCGAGAUGUUAGCUGGCCUGUGUGAGGCCUUGAGACAGAAUGCCACAGCCACACCCCAAGGAUGCUGAAGGGGAUUUCCCUCCUCUGUGGUUUUUCUCCUUUCUUCCCGCAGCACUCCUCCUACGUGCUAACAUCUUCUAGUCAAACAACUCUCCUUUUCAAAGGGACCAGGCACAGUUUCUGCUUAUCCCUGAGUAGCAGUGUUCAGUUUCCUGCCAGCCUGUGGAGUUUUUCAAACAAGCCAAUCACCUCCUCCUGUGGGAACUGAGAAGCACCCCACCCUCUCGAUACUACAAAGCCCCUGCUUGUUCCCUAGUGCAACUCCCAUGUGGUCCUGUGGAGCAUAUGGUAUCUUCCUCUUCUGGGCAGUGAGCAUAUGUGACUAAUAAAC
rnacentral:lncRNA from 1 species